AGGUGGCUUCGGCUAUCACUUACAGAUGGACCCGCGGCGCAUUAGCUAGUUGGUGAGGUAAUGGCUCACCAAGGCGACGAUGCGUAGCCGACCUGAGAGGGUGAUCGGCCACACUGGGACUGAGACACGGCCCAGACUCCUACGGGAGGCAGCAGUAGGGAAUCUUCCGCAAUGGACGAAAGUCUGACGGAGCAACGCCGCGUGAGUGAAGAAGGUUUUCGGAUCGUAAAACUCUGUUGUUAGGGAAGAACAAGUGCCGUUCGAAUAGGGCGGCGCCUUGACGGUACCUAACCAGAAAGCCACGGCUAACUACGUGCCAGCAGCCGCGGUAAUACGUAGGUGGCAAGCGUUGUCCGGAAUUAUUGGGCGUAAAGCGCGCGCAGGUGGUUUCUUAAGUCUGAUGUGAAAGCCCACGGCUCAACCCGUGGAGGGUCAUUGGAAACUGGGGAACUUGAGUGCAAAAAGAGGAAAGUGGAAUUCCCAGUGUAAGCGGUGAAAAUGCGUACAUAUU
rnacentral:rRNA from 2 species